CCCCGCCCCAGCCUGGGAACCCCGAGCUCUGGGGCCGAAGAGAAGGGGAAGCAGUUCUCUCAGCUGGAGGGCGGUGGAUUGGCUGGGCUUUGAGAAGUGGCGAAAGCUACAGGACAGAGGCGCCCUGAGCGGGGGAGAGAGGGAUCCUGGGAUGGUGCGGCCAUCCACUAGGAUAUAGCUGGGGUUCUAAAGGCCAAGAGGCAGACGAGGAAAGAAAUGUCACAGUUUAAAAGAACACAUUGGAGACAGGGGCCAGCCAGGUGGAGAUAGAUUGGGGCCCGCGAAAACAAGGUAAGCGGUGUGUGGGUCCAGUUAGUGAGGAGCAUCGAGACCGGCUUCCACGUCUGCGGGGCUAUCAGGGCCUCGAGGAGACAGCGCUCCGUGCCACUGCUUAGUGUUUGGUCUUUCAUAGGGAUGGACUUGCUUGGGAGUCUUCCAAGAGAUUUUUAAAUGCUCUGGACCUGGGAGCUUCAUUGGCGAUGUUUGGAUCUGGUUUUGAUUUUGAAAGCCCAGGAAGAUUCGCAGACUUUCGAGGCCACACACUCUUCGCGCUGCCCGGAGUCUGGGCGGCGAUGAGGACCCGAAGCUGUCUCAAGACCUGAGUCUGUUCUCAGGCUAUCCCAGAUAAGAGGAAUGAGAGAGAGAGGUUUUCUGACUUCCAACUCAUUAGGGACCAGAACAUGUGCGAAGUUGAUGAAAAUUCAUGACAUCUCUAUCAGGGCUGUUUCAGCUUAAGUCAUCAGAGAAAGAUUUAUCCCCCAGCACAGCAAGAGGGGAUGCCUGUGACCCUUUUCAAACUCACCCUUCACUCUGCUUUAUGGAGACCAUCAGCCACAGAACCAAUAUUUUAGUUUGGAUAUGCAUUUCACAAUUAAUAAUAAAAAGAUACAGGACCAAGGCGGACUGAAUGGCUCCAAUCAUCAGAAUGUAAAAGCAUGAAUCAGAAUCUACUACUUUUUGUUCAUGGUACCCUGAACCUGUGAGCUCAGAAGAAAUUUUCUGGUUAUCUGGAGCUGGAAGUUAUUCAUUAUAGCUCCCCACCACUGACUGACUGAGAGUUAAUUAUCAUCAAACUUCUAUCUGCCCACGAUGCUAAUUAUUCAUACUUCAUGAUUGAGGAUUUGGAGUCAGAGACUCACCUGCAAUAUUUGGAAUACCAGUGGAGAUCCAGAUCAACAUGGAAUUUAUACAGCAGCUGGUGCCAGUCACAGCUAAUGAUGAAACUUCAGUUUAAUAAAAAGACCCCCAACUGAGUACAACCAUCUCAGAGAAAGUAUACUUAUCAAACAGCUUUCAAUCAGUUCAAGAGAGACACCUUAAUUGUGAAGAGGAGGAACUGCACAGCAGUUGUCACCAUGCCAACUUCAGAUCAAUGGCGUUGCCGCUGCUCUUGGUACAUAUAGCCUGGCCUAUGUCCUUAACUGCAUCAACAUCCUUCCUGUUGGGAUGAGAUCUUUGUUUCAGAUGCUAGCAUGUGAUGAUGCUUUUAAUUCGUUACACUAUAAUACCCCAUCGUAAAAUUUCAACGUGUAAUAAAGGUCAAUAUCUUUUCUUUAAACUUCUUUUUCUUGUUACCGGAAUUCAGUGCUUAUGACAUUUUGUAUUUUUAAAAAUUAUUCUGUUGAAAUAAAGCUACACAAACAAAAUAAAAUUAUGGUGAUUCUGAGA